AUGCAACGCGUAAGACUGCGACGGUACCGGGGCGGCGGGGAAGGACCGAGAGGCGGGAGGAGCAGCGGCUCAGGCGCCUGCAAACUGGUGGCCUGAACGAGUUUUUGUCCAGAAGUGCUUAUAGAAAAGAUGGCUAAUAUUAACCUAAAAGAAAUAACCUUAAUAGUAGGUGUGGUUACUGCCUGCUAUUGGAACAGCCUCUUUUGUGGUUUUGUUUUUGAUGAUGUUUCAGCAAUACUGGAUAACAAAGACUUGCAUCCAUCUACACCUUUAAAAACUUUAUUUCAAAAUGACUUCUGGGGAACCCCUAUGUCUGAGGAGAGAAGCCACAAGUCUUACCGUCCCUUAACAGUAUUGACAUUUCGCUUAAAUUAUUUGUUAAGUGAACUAAAACCAAUGUCAUAUCAUCUCCUGAAUAUGAUUUUUCAUGCUGUGGUUAGUGUGAUAUUUCUCAAAGUAUGCAAACUUUUUCUGGACAACAAGAGUAGUGUGAUUGCUUCUUUACUUUUUGCAGUGCACCCAAUACACACAGAAGCAGUAACAGGAGUUGUUGGAAGAGCAGAACUUUUGUCAU
rnacentral:lncRNA from 1 species